UUGGCCGUGAAAGUGAGGAGAGAAAAGGAGAGAAAGAAACAUUUCAUUCCAUCUUAAUUUCUUACUCAAUCUUGCAAACUAACCGAUGGAUUUACCAAAUAAUCCAUGAAAAUUGCUUAGAAAGGUGGAUUGCUAUCUUGGAGUGGAGAGUUUUGGUGGUUCAAGCUUCCUAGAGGCUGUUGUGCUUCUCCAAUACUAGGUUUUCUCGGUGACUAAGGAUAAUAUCCGGAAGGAAAUUUUGUAAGUUAUUUUGCGUACAUAGGUGAGUGUUCCUUAUUUGCUAUAUUAUUCUUGACUCCAUGACUUGUGUUAUUGUUUGAUAACGUGUUAAGUACUUUCCAUGAUUUUCGAAACAAGUUUUCUGGGCGAGUGUGUACUUCAUCGCACUCGACCUAAAUACAUAUGAACUUUUUCAUGAUUUAAUGAUUGAACAAAUGAUUAGUUAUGCAUGAAUGUAAGCCUUCUGGCUGAACUGGGCCCUGCCCUUCGUUACCGAUCGACUCGAGCCAGUAGCGGACUCGGUCGGGCGAUAUGGUGACCCUGGGUGUGAACGUCGGUAUACUCGAGUAUUACCUUGUAGUCCGGACAACGUCCGGAUGGGUGGAGCCUGACCAACGGCUGGGAAGGAAUGAACGAACGAAAGAACAAACGAGGGAUUUUACUUACAAAAAUGCAUUUUUAAACGAUUGGAGGAAUAAGGGGAAAUGUCAAGAGAAUGAACGAACAAACAAAUUGCUCAUUGUGAGCCGUAUCCUUUUAAUGAAUGUGUUACUAUCGCUUUCCAUUGUAAAUGUUUCUUGAAUUAUUGAUACUCCAUAUUUCAUGUAUUGAAAUGACUAUUUGAUUAUGUGUUCGGAAUCUCACUGAGCUCUUAACUUAUCUCUUUAGUUUUGUUUUCCUUAACAGGGGAAGGCAUGCAAGGAUGAGAGCUUAGUAUAGACUAGCUUGGUCUAACUCUUUGAUUUUGUAAUGGUUCUCGCCCUAGUGCUUGGCACGGGCUGAUUGUAUGGUGAAGUGAGAACCUUUGUACCUUUGAUGGUUGUAUUUUUUUUUGAGAUAGUAAUGUAUAUAUAAGUUUCACUUAAAUUUUGGAUUGUUGUAUGUUAUUUCUUUGGUUAUAUUCCGAAUUUGAUUAAG